CAGGGAUUGCCUCAGUAACGGCGAGUGAAGCGGCAACAGCUCAAAUUUGAAAUCUGGCCCCUUGGGGGUCCGAGUUGUAAUUUGUAGAGGGUGUUUCGGGCGCGAUGCCGGUCUAAGUUCCUUGGAACAGGACGUCGUAGAGGGUGAGAAUCCCGUAUGCGACCGGCGAUCAAGCCUGUGUGAAGCCCCUUCGACGAGUCGAGUUGUUUGGGAAUGCAGCUCAAAAUGGGUGGUAAAUUUCAUCUAAAGCUAAAUAUUGGCCAGAGACCGAUAGCGGACAAGUAGAGUGAUCGAAAGAUGAAAAGCACUUUGGAAAGAAAGUCAAACAGUACGUGAAAUUGUUGAAAGGGAAGCGCUUGCAAUCAGACCGGUCCCGAGGCGAUCAGCCGCUGCUCGUCAGCGGUGCACUCGCCUGCGAUCCGGCCAGCAUCGGUUCGGGCGGCGGGAUAAAAGUCCCGGGAAUGUAGCUUCUUUCGGGGAGUCUUAUAGCCCGGGUCGCAAUGCCGCCCGCCCGACCGAGGACCGCGCUUCGGCUAGGAUGCUGGCGUAAUGGUUGCAAGCGACCCGUCUUGAAACACGGACCAAGGAGUCUAACAUCUAUGCGAGUGUUUGGGUGUCAAACCCAGGCGCGGAAUGAAAGUGAACGGAGGUGGGAACCCGUCAGACGGCGCACCAUCGACCGAUCCAGAUGUCUUCGGAUGGAUUUGAGUAUGAGCAUAGCUGUUGGGACCCGAAAGAUGGUGAACUAUGCCCGGAUAGGGUGAAGCCAGAGGAAACUCUGGUGGAGGCUCGCAGCGGUUCUGACGUGCAAAUCGAUCGUCAAAUCUAGGCAUAGGGGCGAAAGACCAAUCGAACCAUCUAG
rnacentral:rRNA from 2 species